rnacentral:lncRNA from 1 species
AUGGUGGAAGUUGAGAUACUGAAGGUUCAUAUCUUGAGAAAACUCCUGUGGGCAAGGAAGCUCACAAAGAGGCCUGCCCAGGAUGGAGCUUUCCUGGUUGGGUGCAGUGUCCUUGUUCUGCACAGGGUGCUCAGACACCUCUUUUCCUGCACCGGUGACCUGCGCACAGGACAGGCACACAGGAGCCCUCACCUCUGUCCUGCCCAUAAACAACAGGAGAAAUGAGAUAAAUGCUCCUGUCACAGACUUAUUAUCUAUGUAAUGGAAAUGCAAGGAGAUGUAUUGGAUUUGUAAACCCAUUUUGCUAAGGCCACUACUGAACAUGAGAAUCAUUUCACCUCUUUGAGCCAGCACUAACACUCUGCAGUCUUACCAAAAGAAUUCACUAAAUGUUUAUCUGGUCACUUACACAUAGAAAUGUUGUUACAAAAACAUUCAUUUUUGCAUUUGUUCAUAACAAAAAAUACAUAUUUCUGGGCAAUGAAUGAAUGAAUGAAGAAUUUUAAUGUCUAAGUUUAAAAAUUCACAUUAAAAUAUCAUUUUAAGAGUGUGUGUGUGUAAGUCUAAGUACAAUCAAACUGUAUGUUAAAAGUAUUUGUGCAGUGAAAAUGAACACUUCUUUAUUCUGACUAUUGAAGUAGCAGCAAAAUCCUCGCAAUCUCCAGUAUCUGCUGAAUGAAUUCUGGAAAAUCAAAAAAAUUGUGUGCUUCAACAAAAUGUCAGCAAAUUCGGUAUACAUGUUAAAUUACUCACAACUCCAUACACAUUUUCUAAAUGGUAUUUCAUAAGCAGGAGAGAGAACUGCUGAAGGUGUUGAGGUUACUGAACAAACUGAACUGAACUCUGUAAUAAAAGUGCUCAGUCUGAAAAUAAAUAUUUGACU